rnacentral:rRNA from 1 species
AAAAACAUGUUCUUUUGUUUAUAUAAAAGAUAUGGCCUGCCCAAUGAUUGAGUUAAAUGGCUGCAGUAUUUUGACUGUACAAAGGUAGCAUAAUCAUUUGUCUUUUAAUUGAGGUCUGGAAUGAAUGGUUGGAUGAAAAACAUACUUUUUUCAUUUUAUACAAAAAAUUUAAUUUUUUAGUCAAAAAACUAGAAUUUUUUUAUGGGACGAGAAGACCCUAUAGAACUUUAUUCUAUUAUUAUAGUUUUUAUUAGGGUAUAAAUAUAAUUUAUAAUUUGUUAGAAUUUUGUUGGGGUGACAAAAAAAAUUUUAUAACUUUUUUUUAUUUUUUACGUAUAUAUAUGUUGUUUUUGAUCCUUUUUUUGGAAGAAAGAUCAAGUUACCUUAGGGAUAACAGCGUUAUUAUCUUGGAGAGUUCAUAUCGAUAAGAUAGUUUGCGACCUCGAUGUUGGAUUAAAAUAAGAUGUGGGAGUAGAAUAUCACAUUCUGGGUCUGUUCGACCUUCAAAUUUUUACAUGAUCUGAGU